UACGUAGGUGGCGAGCGUUGUCCGGAUUUACUGGGCGUAAAGGAUGCGUAGGUGGAAAUUUAAGUGGGAUGUGAAAUCCCCGGGCUCAACCCGGGAACUGCAUUCCAAACUGGGUUUCUUGAGUGCAGGAGAGGAAAGCGGAAUUCCUAGUGUAGCGGUGAAAUGCGUAGAUAUUAGGAAGAACACCAGUGGCGAAGGCGGCUUUCUGGACUGUAACUGACACUGAGGCAUGAAAGCGUGGGGAGCAAACAGGAUUAGAUACCCUGGUAGUCCCU
rnacentral:rRNA from 1 species